CACGUGGGGCCCUCAGCUUUGGGGCAAUAGGGGCAGGGCCUCUUGGGGAGUGGCAAACGGCAGAACGUGUCCCCUGCCCCGCCACGGCUCCAUUCCGCCGCCGCUCGGCUCACAGCCUCCCGCGGACUUCAUCUGUGGUCAGAGUCCGGAGCAGGGGAGGGCGGCCGCAACUUCCCCAGUCUACCUUAAGAGCACCGCGUAGCCAGCUCAGCCAGCUCGCAAAGCCGACCUUAGAAAAACAAGUUUGCGCAAAGUGGAGGGGCCCGGCCUCUGGGCAGCCCCUCGCUGCGCCUCCCCAGCCUUCCAGCCCGGCGGGUGGUGCAGCCGCGGCCCAUGGAGCCCGCCGGCCCGGCCCCUGGCCGCCUCGGGCCACUGCUCUGCCUGCUGCUCGCCGUGUCCUGCGCCUUGUCAGGGGCAGCAGAGGAGGAGCUACAGGUGACUCAGCCUGACAAGUCCGUGUCUGUGGCAGCUGGAGACUCGGUGACCCUGCACUGCAGCGUAAACACCCUGCUGCCCGUUGGACCCAUAUACUGGUUCAGAGGGGCUGGGCCAGACCGGAAGAUGAUCUAUGACUUCAAGGGAGGCCAGUACCCCCGAGUCACAAACCUCUCAGAUGCCACAAAGCGACAGAACAUGGACUUUUCCAUCCGCAUCAGUGACAUCACCACAGCAGACACCGGCACCUACUACUGCGUAAAGUUCCGGAGAGAGGGUGUAGGAGACGUGGAGUUUAAGUCUGGACCAGGCACACAGGUAUCUGUUCAAGCCAAACCUUCCCAACCUGAGGUGUUGGGCCCCACAGUGAGGGCAGCCACCAAGCAGACUGUGAACUUCACCUGUAAGUCCCAUGGCUUCUCCCCCCGCAACAUCAGCCUGAGAUGGUUCAAGAACGGGAAUGAGCUCUCUGCCUUCCAGACCAGCGUGGAGCCCGCAGGAGAGAGUGUUUCCUACAAUGUCUCCAGCACCGCCCAGGUGGUCCUGUCCUCUGGGGACGUAUAUUCACAGGUCAUCUGUGAGGUGGCCCACGUCACACUUCAGGAGGGCCCUCCUCUUCGUGGGACUUUCAACUUGUCUGACACCAUCCGAGUUCCCCCCAGUGUGGAGGUCACACAGCAGCCCGUGGGGACAGGGGCCCAGGUGAACGUCACCUGCCACGUGGACAAGUUCUACCCCCAGCGUGUGCAGCUGACCUGGCUGGAGAAUGGAAACGUGUCCCACACAGAGAUGGCCUGGACGUUAGUGAAGAACAAGGACGGGACCUACAACCGCACAAGCUGGAUCCUGGUGAACAACUCUGCCCACAGGGAGGACCUGGUGCUCUCCUGCCAGGUGGAACAUGAUGGGCAGCCAGCGGUCACCAAAAGCCACACCCUGCAGGUUUCAGCUCAGCCCAAGGAGCCCGACUCAAACCCCAAUACCAGCGAUGGCCAAAAUGACAGUUGGAGCAUCUUCAUUGUGGUGGGUGUCGUGUGCGCCUUGCUGGUGGUCCUGCUGAUGGCGGCCCUCUACCUCCUCCGGAUCAAACAGAAGAAAGCCAAGGGCUCCACUUCUUCUACAAGGUUGCAUGAGCCCGAGAAGAUCGCCAGAGAAAUAACCCAGAUCCAGGACACCAACGACAUCAAUGACAUCACCUAUGCAGACCUCAACCUGCCCAAGGGGAAGAAGACAGCUCCGCGGGCCGCCGAGCCCAACAACCAUACAGAAUAUGCCAGCAUUCAGACCGGCCCUCCGGUCACCUCGGAGGACACCCUCACUUAUGCCGACCUGGACAUGGUGCACCUCAACCGCACCCCAAAGCCGCCGGCCCCCAAGCCGGAGCCGUCCUUCUCUGAGUACGCCAGCGUCCAGGUGCAGAGGAAGUGAAUGGGACUUCCGGCUGCUCUUGGUCCUGUCCCCAAGAGCUUUCCUGUCCCGCAUGGAGCAGCCAUGUUGCGGACAGCCAGCCCAGGUUCCCGGAGGGCCGGGCGGUGGGGCUCUUCUGUCCUCAGCCCUUGUCUCUGCAGGGCAGCCAUGGGCCCCCAUUCUUGCCACAUACCGGAAACUGGAGUUGCUGAACUAGUCAAUGAGAUGGACCAGAGCUGGAGUUCUCCGUGCCUCUGUCCUCCAGAGCGUGGGGGCGGGAUGAGGGGAAGAAGACCAAGCAAGACAGAAAGCUUUCGCCUCCGCCCGACAGCCUGGGAGAGUCCCAGCACCUUGUGUAUGGAAGCCCAGGAAGAGGAAGAGGUUAAAGGAACACUGCGGAAGGAGCGUGGUUUGGGGAGUUUAUUUUAAGACCGCUGGGAAGGAAACAGGCCCCGUUUUGUAUAUAGUUGCAACUUAAACUUUUUGGCUUGCAAAAUAUUUUUGUAAUAAAGAUUUCUGGGUAACAGGGA